GGACUGGGACCAAGGGUCCAGUUUCACCUUUGCUACUCAAAGGCAAAGAAGAUAGGACCUAUACCUGCAAUUAAAGUGGGCACAGUUCUGCUUUAAUAUCUAUUAAUUCUGGAGUAACAAAGCUAAGAGAAGAAUGACUAAAACAAGAGUCACAGCAGGAUUAAUUUGAAGACACACUUUUUACAUGUUGAAAUGGAACUGCAGAUCCAUUGGUGAGAGGAGACCUUACUGAUGAACAUACCCUAUAUAAAAAGCGAGAGGAACAGACAUACUUUUUGUUUAUAUGCAGAAAGAGAUUAAUCUAUUCAGGUGUUACUGAAAUAGGGAACACUGCUGCUGGAAAGAUUUCCCCUGGGAUUCAUGGGAGCUGCCUGUAUCCUGAAGCUGGAGGAGGGGGCCUGCAAAUACGUUCUGGUAGUGCAUCUCUGAAUUUUGAUGAUCAUCUGUUGAUAAAUUGUAUGGGCCAUCCUGUGUCAAGACCAUCAUUGCUGUCUCCUCCUUUUAGUCAGCAAUUUGUCUUCAACCUUACUACUUAGGUUAUGCCUUUUUCUCCUCCAUCUCUAAACCCUUGCUUCACCGUAAAUAUUUGCAAUAACUCACAUUUCACUCUUCCUUGUUCCUCUUCUAGGUAGGAACAAACACAGUGUCAAUACUGUGCAGAUGUGUUUUAACGCAAGAGAAUAUUUCGGUGAGCUUGAUGGUGAGUUGUAAAAUCUUUGUGGUAAGCUCACAACACAGGAGGAUCCUUUGAUAAACAUAAGUAACUGGAGUUUACCAUGAGUGUAUCUUUGUCAGAGAAUGUUUUUCUUUCUGUUUCCUACAGCAUUGCUUGCUCUAGUUCAGGAGUCAAAAAGUUAAGAGUUUUGGACAAUGGGUAGUACUAUCUAUGAUUUGAAAUUCUGUUUUAACUAAUGUUUUAUACUGUUUGCUUAAAAUUUACUGUGUCUGCAAGCAACCCCUCUUGUAAAAUUAUUUACCAUUGAAAUUCACUAUUGCUGAAAGCAAACAUAAAAAACAUUAUCAGGUUCUAAGUUAAUUUGUUUAAAAAUG